rnacentral:rRNA from 1 species
GACGAACGCUGGCGGCGUGCCUAAUACAUGCAAGUCGAACGCAGUGGGGACGGGUGAGUAACCCGUGGGUAACCUCCCAUCAGAGGGGAUAACACUUGGAAACAGGUGCUAAACCGAUACUGAUGGAUGGACCCGCGGUGCAUUAGCUAGUUGGUGAGGUAACGGCUCACCAAGGCCACGAGGCAUAGCCGAGCUGAGAGGGUGAUCGGCCACACGGGGAAUGAAACACGGACCAGACGCCUGCGGUAUGCAGCAGUAGGAAAUCUUCGGCAAUGUACGAAAGUCAGACCGAGCAACGCCGCGGGAGAGAAGAAGGUUUUCGGAUCGUAAAACGCUGUUGUUAGAGAAGCGUUAUCUAACCAGUAAGCCACGGCUAACUACGUGCCAGCAGCCGCGGUAAUUC